GGAGAAGUGGCUGAGAGGUUGAAAGCGGCAGAUUGCUAAUCUGCUAUAUGUUUUUUGACAUAUCGAGGGUUCGAAUCCCUUCUUCUCCUUUU
rnacentral:tRNA from 1 species